AACGAACGCUGGCGGCAUGCCUAACACAUGCAAGUCGAACGAUGCCUUCGGGCUUAGUGGCGCACGGGUGCGUAACGCGGGGGAAUCUGCCUUUCGGUUCGGAAUAACUCAGGGAAACUUGAGCUAAUACCGGAUAACGUCGCAAGACCAAAGAUUUAUCGCCGAAGGAUGAGCCCGCGUAGGAUUAGCUAGUUGGUGAGGUAAAGGCUCACCAAGGCGAGGAUCCUUAGCUGGUCGGGGAGGAUGAUCCGCCACACUGGGACUGAGACACGGCCCAGAAUCCUACGGGAUGGAGCAGAGGGUAAUAUAGUAGGAUGGACGAAGGUCUGAUCCAGCAAUGCCGCGUGAGUGAUGAAGGCGUUAGGGAUGUGAAGCUCUUUUACCCGGGGAGAUAAUGACGGUACCGGGAGAAGAAGCCCCGGCUAACUCCGUG
rnacentral:rRNA from 1 species